GACGAACGCUGGCGGCGUGCUUAACACAUGCAAGUCGAACGAUGAAGAAGAGUGACUCGCACUUCUUUUCAAAUUUCACUUCGGAUUAUUAGCAGACGGGUGAGUACCUCUUGAGCAACCUACCUCUUACAAAGGGAUAGCCUCGGGAAACCGUGAUUAAUACCAUUUGACACAUUCAUAAGACAUCUUAAGAAUGUUAAAGCUACGGCGGUAAGAGAUGGGCUCGCGUCCCAUUAGCUAGUUGGUGAGGUAACGGCCCACCAAGGCGACGAUGGGUAACCGGGCUGAGAGGGUGAACGGUAACAUUGGAACUGAGACACGGACCAAACUCCUACGGAAGGCAGCAGUGGGGAAUAUUGCACAAUGGAGGGAACUAUGAUGCAGCGACGCCGCGUGAGCGAUGAAGGAAUUCGUAUCGUAAAGCUCUGUUCUAUGGGAAGAAAAGGACUGUACCAUAGGAGAAAGCCACGGCUAAAUACGUG
rnacentral:rRNA from 1 species